GCCGGGAUAGCUCAGUUGGGAGAGCGUGAGACUGAAGUAUUCGGUUAUACAAGCCAUUCGAGGCUUCUCAAGGUCACUGGUUCGAUCCCGGUUCACGGCA